AAAUGCGGAUAAAAUCCCUUGAAGCACUUCUUCUUUCUCCUCGUCGCUCUCCUCUUCUUGCAGGACCCCUAAAAUGUAGGCUCCAUACACCUCGCGGUCCACUUCUAACGAGUCUAGCCGAUCAUUUAACCAGCUUUCAAACUCCCCGGCGUCUGCCACGGGCGCAGCCAUCUUGGCUCUUUGGGGUCUUUUCGGCGGCGCACGGCUGUCUUUUCUCAUUGCCUGUUCAAAAAGCGUUGUACAGAAGAUGACGUCAGUGAUCCAACCUGUGCAACAUGAUGGGUGGGUGGACACCAGGCGAGGGACUAGUCACUAACGGGCUGUGAUUCUGCACUGAACUGGUCACACCAUCGGCCCAGCUGUUUCUCCUGCCUCAAGCAGCAGACGCACAUUCUCCCAGAGGUCCGAGCAGCCCAGCGGUGUCCUGAAGUUACCAGGACUGCGGGAUGUAUUGUGACAGACUUUAAAUGUGAGGAAGAGGAGCCCUUGUCACCCAUCACCUCUGUGAGAUGAAAGGCCCCGAAAGCAGCCAGCCACCCUGCUGGACACAGCUCAGCUGUUAUAAGAAGUGUUUGACAGGAGUGGCAGGCAUUUUCUGGAUUAGAGUGAAGGCAAGGAGGAAGAGGAAAAGGGAGGACAUUGCUGUUCCUCGUCUGCGGGGAUGGGAUCUCAACCGUGGAGUUUGUUUAAAAAAUAAAAAGAGACAAAAAAACUCUUUUACCCUCGGAGGAAGUAUCUUGGUUGACUUGGCAGUAGGACUUAUGGAUGUUAGACAAUGUGUGUCAGCUUGCAGAUUAGUGCUUUCUCCAAUGCCCCUUCUUUUAGGGAAUUCAUGGCGCUGUAGUUUAAAAAAGGGAGAGAUUUUACCUUUUAAAUUUAUUCUUGUGUGUCCCUGCUACUCUCUUUUCAGGUAAACACACUAUCUACCUUUUGGUUCCGCUUAUUCAUAAUAUCCAAAUAUGUUUCAUCAUCCUACAACUGCGUCUUUAAAGAAGCUUUAAUCAAUAUUAUGGAUCUUUUAUGUAAAAUGGUUCCCUUGUAGUGAU